UACAGAGGGUGCGAGCGUUGUCCGGAAUCACUGGGCGUAAAGGGCGCGUAGGUGGCGCUGCAAGUCGGUGGUGAAAGCUCGUCGCUUAACGGCGAGUCGGCCAUCGAAACUGCAGGGCUCGAGCACUGUAGGGGCUAAUGGAAUUCCGGGUGUAGCGGUGGAAUGCGUAGAGAUCCGGAGGAACACCAGCGGCGAAGGCGGCAUCCUGGACUGGUCCUGACACUCAUGAGCGAAAGCGUGGGGAGCGAUCCGG
rnacentral:rRNA from 1 species